UACCCUGGUAGUCCACGCUGUAAACGAUGAGUACGAGGUGCCGGGGGUUACCCCCUUCGGUGCCGCAGCUAACGCAUUAAGUACUCCGCCGGGGAAGUACGCUCGCAAGAGUGAAACUCAAAGGAAUGGACGGGGACCCGCACAAGUAGCGGAGCAUGUGGUUUAAUUCGAAGCAACGCGAAGAACCUUACCUAAGCUUGACAUCCCAAUGACAUCUCCUUAAUCGGAGAGUUCCCUUCGGGGACAUUGGUGACAGGUGGUGCAUGGUUGUCGUCAGCUCGUGUCGUGAGAUGUUGGGUUAAGUCCCGCAACGAGCGCAACCCUUGUCUUUAGUUGCCAUCAUUAAGUUGGGCACUCUAGAGA
rnacentral:rRNA from 1 species